ACGAAAGUCCAUGCAAGGAUGAGGAGCCACUGGAUUAAGGCAAUAGCAUAUCAAGUUAUGUCAAGCUGAACACAUUCAAACUUGUACAAGCAAGAUCCUAGACAAGGACGCUGGUAGAGGAAACAUAUUGGGGCAAGUUUAAGAGACAAACAGUCCCACAGAAACACAGAUGCAAGCAAAGGAAGAUGCUGGCUGCAUUAUAUGCUGUAUGUCCAGGUCAGAGGCUGUAAAACUUGAAGAAAGGAGCCAAGAUCGCCAGAAAUACAGUGGUGGUAUUAUAGCAAACAUGAGAUCCUAAGUCCUUUUUCAAAGCGUGCCUGCUCCCUGCAAGAGGAGGAACAGUGGCCAACCCACUCAAUCAGCUGUUGCCAUGUGGGACCUGUGAAACCUAGCUACCAUGCAAAAAGUCUGACUGACUCGAGAUUACCAUAUUGUGAGGAAGUCCAAGCUAACCACAGGGAGGGGAACUGAGAAACCUAAACAACAGUGAAAACUGAAGUCCGAGAUAGAUGGCCCAAGCUGAGCCAUCAUGGGUGACACUACCAGGGGCCAAGACAGGUUCUCUCUAACAAGCCUGUCCAAGUCACAAAGGCCCCAUGUCUGGAAUGCCAUUGAACUUGAAUUUGCCAGGGGAAGAUUUCUGACUCUCACAAAGGCCACCUGAGCCCUUGCUUGGAGCUACUUGUAUGCUUUUGGCUGAGGACAGUUAUCCCUAUUAUGAGAAGACCAUACUCACCAAUGAAGAUGUACCAUAAUGUGGAGAGAUGCAGGCAGCAGCGGAG
rnacentral:lncRNA from 1 species